GCGACAGAAGAGAGACACUGUCUCAAAAAAAAAAAAAAAAAAAGUAUAAAGGAGGGCAGAAAUUCUUAUUCUUUUAACCCAUUGAAACAUUAAACAGCCUUUCAGGAGCAGACCCUCCUACGGAUUUGCUGAAUCCAAGGCGAGGAAGGCAUAUAUCCAGGUUACAGUGAAGUUUGCCCCAGACAAGUAAUGAAGAUUUGGGUUCUAGAUCUGGAUACUCCAGGCAGUUUUUACUAUGUGACCCUGUGCCUGUCACAGUAUUUCAGCCUGUAAAAUAUGGACAAUGUUUGCCUUUUUGGCUUCCAGUUAGCUUUGUGAGGAUUAAUUGAGAUGAGUGCAAAGCUCAUUUGUAAUGUGUGGCUGGUGGUUUUAUUACUAUUUUGAGCAGUAGUGGAAAAGCCCAUUUGAACUGGUAGGAUGAGAUAAGAUCAUGGUGGCCUUGACAACUACAUGGAGGAGCCAGUUGGGUAUGGGAAAGUUUGAGCAGGGAAAGAAAGAAUGUAGUGAAAGCAGUGUCAGGUCAAAGAAAGGUUUGCCUAGGAGUGAUGUAAAGAAUGGGAUGGAGGAGUGGGCAGGGAAGGAGGAAAGAGGAGACAUGUCAGAGGGACCAAAAAGGAGGCAGCAAGUCCAAGGUCACAAACCUGAGUGACUAGAAAACUUAGCAGCAUCACUAACACCCAGUUGGUGACGUGGAACUGGUGCUCUCCUGGGAGAGAGCUUCAAUUCUCAACCUACUAAGUUGAAGGUGAUGGUGCUAUAUCUAAGUGGCAGACAGAGAUAAGGGAUAGGUGUCUACAGGGGCAAGAUUUGGAGCCAGGAGAAGAAAUGAGCUCUCCAAGGGUAGUGGGGAGAGAUCUGGGAUGUUGGGGGCUGGCAGGUAAAUGCUUUAAGUGAUAGAAUAGGAGGAAUGAGAAAGCCAGCAAAAGAAAUUCACGUCCCAUGUCUUCCAUCAUCUAUAUGUCUGACUUGUUUAAGUGGUCCUGGAUUCACCAAAUUUUAUAGAGCUCUGCCUCUGCCUUUAUUGGGUAGGCCUGAUUUUUGAUGAUGUCCUUAAAAGGCUAGCCUGAUUCUUCUUGUAGUUUUGUAGAACACUUUGUAUCGAGAGUUCUCUGAUAAUGAAAGUGGUAUUACAGAAUAAUCUGCCCCCGAAGGACUCCUGAUUUUGUUAAAGUGAUACCUUUCUCUGUAAAUAAAUGAUGGCGUGCCACUUAAAAACCUUCAGCAGAUUUCUUUUUUUAAACAAAGUCACUCAAGUGGGACAGUAAGAUUUUCUCUGAGGCUGGCACUGGUGCCUGCCUCUGCUCCGGGGAAUCCAGACGUGGCACCCGGAGUUGGGCCUCAUCCAUCCUCAGCUUUCAUUUGUGACCAAGCCUGACUCAGAAUGGGCUGGCAGUUUUCCUGAGUACAUGGGAGUUAGGGCAGAGAACAUGAUGUGGUGCUGGUAGUCAACGCAAGCUGGCACGGCCUCAGCCAGAAGACUGGAGCUAGGAGCAAGCAAAGCACCAAGUAAAUGAAUCAAAUUAAAAAACAACUACAACAACAACAACAAAGGAGGAAACUAGAGAACAUCUUGGGAACUAUCCGCUUUUGGAACUUAUCCCAUGCUGGAACAUUGCCCUGAGACAGACAUCCAUGAAGAAGCCUGGGAUGAAAGACCACAUGGAGAGAAAGGCCCACCAUCAUUCUGCACCAACUACCAACGGCGUAAGGGAGGUUGACUUGGAUCUCCCACCCCAGUUGACUCUCCAGCUGAAAGCAACUGCCUGAGCCCAAACAAAACCUGCUGAGGAACCUCCCUGCUAGCAAAUGGAAUCAGGAGAAAUAAUAAAUAGUUCUGUUGUUUUAAGUCACCAACUCACAAACGGAGUAUAAGAAAUAAUCAAUGGAUGUAGUUUUAAGUCUCUAUGUGUUGGGAUGGUUUGAUAUAACAAUAGGUAACUGAAACAGUAGAAGAUUAGAAAGAGGAAAAAUAAUCACCCAUAAUCCCAUCACAUAAAGAUGACUGCUCUUUUUUUUUUUUUUU
rnacentral:lncRNA from 1 species